CGUGCCUUUUGUAGAAUGAACCGGCGAGUUACGAUUUGAUGCAAGGUUAAGCAGUAAAUGUGGAGCCGUAGCGAAAGCGAGUCUGAAUAGGGCGUUUAGUAUUUGGUCGUAGACCCGAAACCAGGUGAUCUAUCCUUGGUCAGGUUGAAGUUCAGGUAACACUGAAUGGAGGACCGAACCGACUUACGUUGAAAAGUGAGCGGAUGAACUGAGGGUAGCGGAGAAAUUCCAAUCGAACCUGGAGAUAGCUGGUUCUCUCCGAAAU
rnacentral:rRNA from 1 species